AGAAUCAACGCUGGCGGCGUGCCUAACACAUGCAAGUCGAACGAGAAAGUGGAGCAAUCCAUGAGUAAAGUGGCGCACGGGUGAGUAACACGUGACUAACCUACCCUUGAGUGGGGGAUAACCUAGGGAAACCUGGGCUAAUACCGCAUAAUACCUUCGGGUCAAAGGAGCAAUUCGCUUAAGGAGGGGGUCGCGGCCGAUUAGUUAGUUGGCGGGGUAAUGGCCCACCAAGACUGUGAUCGGUAUCCGGCCUGAGAGGGCGCACGGACACACUGGAACUGAAACACGGUCCAGACUCCUACGGGAGGCAGCAGUGGGGAAUUUUGCGCAAUGGGGGAACCCUGACGCAGCAACGCCGCAUGGAGGAUGAAGUCCCUUGGGACGUAAACUCCUUUCGAUCGGACGAUUAUGACGGUACCGGAAGAGAAGCCCGGCUAACUUCGUGCCAGCAGCCGC
rnacentral:rRNA from 1 species